rnacentral:rRNA from 1 species
AUUGAACGCUGGCGGCAGGCCUAACACAUGCAAGUCGAACGGUAACAGGAAGAAGCUUGCUUCUUUGCUGACGAGUGGCGGACGGGUGAGUAAUGUCUGGGAAACUGCCUGAUGGAGGGGGAUAACUACUGGAAACGGUAGCUAAUACCGCAUAACGUCGCAAGACCAAAGAGGGGGACCUUCGGGCCUCUUGCCAUCGGAUGUGCCCAGAUGGGAUUAGCUAGUAGGUGGGGUAACGGCUCACCUAGGCGACGAUCCCUAGCUGGUCUGAGAGGAUGACCAGCCACACUGGAACUGAGACACGGGCCAGACUCCUACGGGAGGCAGCAGUGGGGAAUAUUGCACAAUGGGCGCAAGCCUGAUGCAGCCAUGCCGCGUGUAUGAAGAAGGCCUUCGGGUUGUAAAGUACUUUCAGCGGGGAGGAAGGGAGUAAAGUUAAUACCUUUGCUCAUUGACGUUACCCGCAGAAGAAGCACCGGCUAACUCCGUG